rnacentral:rRNA from 1 species
UACGAAGGGGGCUAGCGUUGCUCGGAAUUACUGGGCGUAAAGCGUGCGCAGGCGGUUCGUUAUGUCCGAUGUGAAAGCCCCGAGCUUAACUUGGGAAUGGCAUUGGAAACUGGCGGGCUGGAGUGCGGCAGAGGGGGGUGGAAUUCCACGUGUAGCAGUGAAAUGCGUAGAGAUGUGGAGGAACACCGAUGGCGAAGGCAGCCCCCUGGGCCGACACUGACGCUCAGGCACGAAAGCGUGGGGAGCAAACAGG